GUGCCCAAUCAGUGUUUGGGGAAUGGAUGACUGACACACCAUCUACAUUAUGAAGCACAUUGUUACCUCCAGAGCGUCAAGAUACUCAAUUCAAUUUUGGCUCCUCAGGCUCAAGCACAACCUGGAAAAACGAAGGUGUUAAUGUUCCAUGAGGCAACUGAUGACCAAUGGGGAGCAGGAGCUGGUGAAUGAAUGUUCCCUUCAUCCAUCCUGCAGCUUCUACAUUGUUCUUCAUCUCUGGGAAAUCAGUGACCCAUGGACUGGACAAUAACUUUGAGCCAUGCAGUCAAAAUAAAAUGGAAUAUUUAAGUGAAAGAUCAGGUUCUGGAAAAUAAAACUGCUCGUAGCUGCAUAUUAUCUACCGAACUUAGGUGGAUUCUCAGAAAGAAAAAGGUGAUGUUCACUGGCAUGAACAGUGAAUGGUGGAGUGGAACGUGAACAGGCUGGAGCUCUGGCUGUGCCAUUUAUUAGCCAUGUGCCUUUAGAAGGUCCUCAUCUUCUCCAGCCUCAGUUUCACCAUCUGUAAUGGAGUAUCCAUGACCCAGAGAGAGUAUCAGUGUCAAGAAUCUGCCAGUGAGAAAGUGAUUUGAAGCAGCUCUGGAGUUCAGAUGGCCACGGGUGCAAGUGCCUGCUCUGGUGUGCUUUGCCUCUGGAAAGAUGCCAAGUCUUUGAGAAUCUUUGCUGCAUCAGCCAUGCUACAUCCUGAGGACUUGGAGCCAAACUCCUUGCAGUAUUUGUCUACACAACCUGUCUCUACUUCCUCACCUCCCACUCAAUCCUCCUGAUGGUGCAGCCUUUAAAAACCGUGUUGAAUACUUGGAGUCUGGAAGAAGCAAGGUAAAGAGAGCAAAGGUUAUUUUCACCCUGAAGAGACAGCCUUUAGAGAAGUACAGCCAGGGAGUGAUCGAGUCCCCUAACAAAGACACUUUGGUGAACCAAGAAUGGGAUGGCCCCGACUAGAGUUGGUCUUCACUGCCAGAUGUCCAAUCUAUCUUCACAGCACAUUGGGCAGAACCCACAGUUCUCUCAUCUCAUGACAUACAUGCAUGCAGAUCCCUCCUGAAUUAUGAGCCCUUUUCCUGGCAGCACCAGACUCCAGAUCAAGCCUAGUACAGCCAGAGCCAGUCUCUCUGUGCCCUUCCAAUCAACAGCCUUCUCUGCAAUAAGGAGGGGACCCAUGGCUUCAGUGAGGCCCAAGCAAUACCAAGAAGAGAAGAAGGAUAUGAAGAAAAACACCAUAAAUAGGAUUUCUGAUGUCCAUUUUAUAGAUGAAGAAGGAAGGUUUAGCAAGGCCAUUCAAGGAUACACAGCUAGAGGACGAGAUGGAAUUGAAGUCCCUUUGUCAGCAUCCUUUUCAUUCUUGAUGCCAUUUCAUUUCCCCUCCUGGAAAGCCUUCCCACUCCAAGAGAAAAACUAUUAUACAAAUGAUACAACCUGCUAUGGAAAAAAGAGAAAUAACAGAUAAGUAUACAAAGAAAAUACAAGAAAAACAUGAACAGUAAUAAUCUUAUCCAAAUGUUACUGAGAUAUUUUUGGAGUACUUAAUUUCAAUCUUUUUCCUAUAUGCAAACACACACAACUUUUCUCUAACAAAAAUCAGAUCAUACUGUACUAGCAAACACCCUACCUGAAAUCUGUAUAUCCAUUGCCUAUUGAUUAUGCCCAUUGCUUAACAUACUAUGUUUUAUUUAAUCAUUAUUUAAUUGUUGAGUAUGCAAGUUAUUUCUGAGUUUUCACUCAAGCUGUUUACGCUUAUUUCUGUCUGGGUGUGAAUGAAUCUUUGGCACAUUCCUCUAGCAAGUUGAUCAACAUCUGGUCUAAGAUAUUCUUCGGUGUUGGGUUUGUGCUGUCCACAUCAGCUUAGCAAUGUCUGCACAAAGACUCCUUCCCCCUCAAAAGUGCCAUUCAGACUUGCUGUGGGUAUAAGGGGAACAAUCUCAUUGAGGAGAAAGUUGUCAUUGUGGUUGAGAACAUGAACUUUGGAAUUGGAUAGAGCUGUGUGAAUUUGGCCUAAACUCCGAGUCUGCUUCCACAUCUGUAAAAUGUAGACACAAAUAGUUACUCAUAAGGUUCUGGUGGGGAUUAAAUGUGGUUAUACCUGUAAAGUCCUUAGCAUUAUGCCCAGCACAUAGUGAAGAUGUUCGAUAAAUGAUAACUAAACAAACAUUGUGUCCCCUCCCACUACAACCACACUGCUCUCCCUCACCUUACAGACUUUGCUGCUUGACAAUCUUGGGGUGGGGCUGCUGAAAACUGAAUCUCAAUUUAGGAAGCCAUGUUGUCCCAGGAUUAGGGUUAUUGGCCUCACAUAAGAAUCUCCAAAUCUGCAGAAUCUCAGGCCCCACCCAAAAACUAUUCAAUCAGAAACUACAUUUUCAAAAGAUAUCCCAGAUGAUUUGUAUGCAUAGUAAAGUUUGAGAAGGUUUUAGUCCAGGUAUUCAGGAAGUGAUGCUGGUUGUGUAUGGAGGACAGGGGCCCAGGAACUGAUGAAAUCUCUAGUUUGGAAUUCUCGAUAGCAUUUGCAUUCUUUUUUUUUUUUUUUAUCUCAAAUCCAUCACUCAGUAGCAAUGUGAUCUUCACAAAGCUCCCUUUACUUUUACCACCAUAGUGUUGUAGGAGAAGCUCUAUCUUCCAAGUCAGACAGAUCUGGGCUUCAAUUCCAGCUUUGUUAACUGGAGGACUUAUUAUUAGCUGGGAGGACUUGCGACAAAUCAUACCAACUUUCUGAGCCCAGUUUCCUUCCCUGUAAAAUGUAGAUAAUACACCUUUCUUGAGGUGUUACUAGAGAUAACCAAUGAUAAAGUGUUUGGGAAAUCUGGCAUAUCGUAGGGGUACAAUGAGUAAGUGGUUUGACUCCAAAGACCUGAGUUUGGAUCUCAGCUCCACAACUCACUUGGCUGAUUGCUUUCUUUCCCUGGACUCAAGUUUCAUCAUCUGUAAAACUGGCAUUUCAACCAAAUAACUUCUGAAGUCUCUCCCUCCUUUAAAGCUUGAUAUUACAAGGGCAAAUUUUAGUACAAAUAUCCAAAUCCUAACGGUAACUCACAAUUACAAAAGAGCUGAGUCUGUCAUUCACCUGUCAAAUUAUCUAAACUGCGUCUCAGUCAGGAGAUGUGAAAAGAAG